rnacentral:rRNA from 1 species
ACGGGAGGUAGCAGUGAGGAAUAUUGGUCAAUGGACGAGAGUCUGAACCAGACAAGUAGCGUGCAGGAUGACGGCCCUCUGGGUUGUAAACUGCUUUUGUACGGGAAUAACGUGACCUACGUGUAGGUUUUUGCAUGUACCGUAAGAAUAAGGACCGGCUAAUUCCGUGCCAGCAGCCGCGGUAAUACGGAAGGUCCGGGCGUUAUCCGGAUUUAUUGGGUUUAAAGGGAGCGUAGGCCGUGCUUUAAGCGGGUUGUGAAAUGUAGGCGCCCAACGUCUGCACUGCAGCGCGAACUGGAGCACUUGAGUACGCAGGAAGUAGGCGGAAUUCGUCGUGUAGCGGUGAAAUGCUUAGAUAUGACGAAGAACUCCUAUUGCGAAGGCAGCUUGCUGGGCCGCAACUGACGCUGAAGCUCGAAGGUGCGGGUAUCGAACAGGAUUAGAUACCAUGGUA